rnacentral:tRNA from 1 species
GGCCUCAUCGUCUAGCCAGGUUCAGGACACAGGGUUUUCAACCCUGCAACACGGGUCCAAAUCCCGUUGAGGUCA